rnacentral:tRNA from 1 species
GGCUAUUACCUGGGGAAAAUCUGUCUUGAAAACAGAUUUUAAGUGUUCGAAUCACUUGGUAGCUU